rnacentral:tRNA from 19 species
UAGCGCAGCUUGGUAGCGCACUUGGUUUGGGUCCAAGGGGUCGCAGGUUCAAAUCCUGC